CCUGUAGACCCCAUGGAGAACACGUGGUCGAUAGGCCGGAGGUGGAAGCCCUGUGAGGGGUGGAGCCGACCGGUACUAAUGGUCGAAC
rnacentral:rRNA from 1 species